CCUACGGGUGGCAGCAGUGGGGAAUAUUGCUCAAUGGGGGAAACCCUGAUGCAGCGACGCCGCGUGGAGGAUGAAGGGCCUCGGCGUGUAAAGCCCUGUUUGUAGGGAAGAAAAUGACGGUACCUGAAGAAGAAGCCCCGUCUUACUACGUGCCAGCAGCCGCGGUAAUACGUAGGGUGCAAGCGUUAUCCGGAGUUACUGGGUGUAAAGGGGGCGUAGACGGGUUAGCAAGUCAGUUGUGAAAGCCUGGGGCCCAACCCUGGAACUGCAGUUGAAACUGGGAGGCUAGAGUGCAGGAGAGGUAGGCGGAAUUCGUGGUGUAGCGGUGAAAUGCGUAGAUAUCACGAGGAACCCCGAUUGCGAAGGCAGCCUGCUGGACUGCAACUGACGUUGAGGCCCGAAAGCGUGGGGAGCAAACAGGAUUAGAUACCCGAGUAGUC
rnacentral:rRNA from 1 species